GACGAACGCUGGCGGCGUGCUUAACACAUGCAAGUCGAACGGUGAAGGGAUCAGCUUGCUGGUUCUGGAUGAGUGGCGAACGGGUGAGUAACACGUGAGUAACCUGCCCCCUUCUUCUGGAUAACCGCAUGAAAGUGUGGCUAAUACGGGAUAUUCUGCGCCUGCUGCAUGGUGGGUGUGGGAAAGAUAUUGUUUCGGUGGGGGAUGGGCUCGCGGCCUAUCAGCUUGUUGGUGGGGUGAUGGCCUACCAAGGCGGUGACGGGUAGCCGGCCUGAGAGGGUGGACGGUCACACUGGGACUGAGGCACGGCCCAGACUCCUACGGGAGGCAGCAGUGGGGAAUAUUGCACAAUGGGCGCAAGCCUGAUGCAGCGACGCCGCGUGAGGGAUGGAGGCCUUCGGGUUGUGAACCUCUUUCGCCAGUGAAGCAGGCCUGUCCCUUGUGGGUGGGUUGACGGUAGCUGGAUAAGAAGCGCCGGCUAACUACGUG
rnacentral:rRNA from 1 species